CCUACGGGUGGCAGCAGUGGGGAAUAUUGGACAAUGGGCGCAAGCCUGACCCAGCAACGCCGCGUGAAGGAAGAAGGCUUUCGGGUUGUAAACUUCUUUUAAGGGGGAAGAGCAGAACACUGUACCCCUUGAAUAAGCCACGGCUAACUACGUGCCAGCAGCCGCGGUAAUACGGAGGUGGCAAGCGUUUUCCGGAUUUACUGGGUGUAAAGGGCGUGCAGCCGGAGACACAAGUCAGAUGUGAAAUCCACGGGCUCAACCCGUGAACUGCAUUGGAAACUGUGUCACUUGAGUGUAGGAGAGGUAAUCGGAAUUCCUUGUGUAGCGGUGAAAUGCGUAGAUAUAAGGAAGAACACCAGUGGCGAAGGCGGAUUACUGGACGAUAACUGACGGUGAGGCGCGAAAGCGUGGGGAGCAAACAGGAUUAGAUACCCCUGUAGUC
rnacentral:rRNA from 1 species